rnacentral:rRNA from 1 species
GGAUUAGAUACCCGGGUAGUCCACGCCGUAAACGUUGGGCGCUAGGUGUGGGACUCAUUUCACGUGUUCCGUGCCGCAGCAAACGCAUUAAGCGCCCCGCCUGGGGAGUACGGCCGCAAGGCUAAAACUCAAAGGAAUUGACGGGUGCCCGCACAAGCGGCGGAGCAUGUGGAUUAAUUCGAUGCAACGCGAAGAACCUUACCUGGGUUUGACAUAUAGGGAAAACUGGCAGAGAUGUCAGGUCCGCAAGGGCCCUAUACAGGUGGUGCAUGGCUGUCGUCAGCUCGUGUCGUGAGAUGUUGGGUUAAGUCCCGCAACGAGCGCAACCCUCGUCCUAUGUUGCCAGCACGUCAAGGUGGGGACUCAUAGGAGACUGCCGGGGUCAACUCGGAGG